rnacentral:rRNA from 1 species
CCUACGGGAUGCAGCAGUGGGGAAUAUUGGGCAAUGGGCGCAAGCCUGACCCAGCAACGCCGCGUGAAGGAAGAAGGCUUUCGGGUUGUAAACUUCUUUUCUCAGGGACGAAGCAAGUGACGGUACCUCAGGAAUAAGCCACGGCUAACUACGUGCCAGCAGCCGCGGUAAUACGUAGGUGGCAAGCGUUAUCCGGAUUUACUGGGUGUAAAGGGCGUGUAGGCGGGACUGCAAGUCAGAUGUGAAAACCAUGGGCUCAACCUAUGGCCUGCAUGUGAAACUGUAGUUCUUGAGUACUGGAGAGGCAGACGGAAUUCCGAGUGUAGCGGUGAAAUGCGUAGAGAGUAGGAGGAACACCAGUGGCGAAGGCGGACUGCUGGACAGCAACUGACGCUGAGGCGCGAAAGCGUGGGGAGCAAACAGGAUUAGAUACCCCGGUAGUC